GUGCUUGCUUCAGCAGCACAUAUACUAAAAUCAAGAUGAUUACAGAAAAGAUUAGUAUGGCCCCUGCGCAAGGAUGACGCAGGGAGGUGUUCCAUGUUUUU
rnacentral:snRNA from 1 species